CCCUUAGAUGUUCUGGGCUGCACGCGCGCUACACUGAAGCGUUCAACGAGUAUUCACCUUGCCCGGGAGGGUUGGGUAAUCUUUUGAAAACGCUUCGUGAUGGGGAUAGAUUAUUGCAAUUAUUAAUCUUCAACGAGGAAUUCCUAGUAAGCGCGAGUCAUCAGCUCGUGCUGAUUACGUCCCUGCCCUUUGUACACACCGCCCGUCGCUCCUACCGAUUGAAUGGUCCGGUGAAGCCUCCGGAUUGGCGCGCACCUCGGUGCCGCCGAGAAGUUGGCUAAACCUUACCAUUUAGAGGAAGGUGAANUCGUAACA
rnacentral:rRNA from 1 species